rnacentral:sRNA from 1 species
CACAUAAAGGACUCAAUGAGUUAAAUCCUGUGGCAUUUCCCAUUAUGGUCCUUUCUCCUCCCACCAUUCUAAUACUAGUCCUCUUCUAAUCAAGACCUAUAACCUCUGUCUUAGACUUUGAGCAAAGCAUGGUCCUGGUUGCCUGUGGACCAUACACCACGUCUGACAGCAUCACGUAUGACCCCCUGCUUGACCUGAUUGCUGUCAUCAACCAUGACCGGCCAGAUGUCUGCAUCCUGUUUGGCCCUUUCCUGGAUGCUAAGCAUGAACAGGUGGAGAAUUGUCUACUGACAAGUCCAUUUGAAGACAUUUUCAAGCAGUGUCUACGAACAAUUAUUGAAGGCACAAGAAGCUCCGGCUCCCACCUUGUCUUUGUCCCGUCAUUGAGAGAUGUGCACCAUGAGCCUGUGUACCCCCAGCCGCCUUUCAGCUACUCCGAUCUGUCUCGAGAGGACAAAAAGCAAGUACAGUUUGUGUCCGAGCCCUGCAGCCUCUCCAUAAACGGAGUGAUCUUCGGCUUGACGUCCACAGAUCUGCUUUUCCACCUGGGGGCCGAGGAGAUCAGUAGGUAAGAAGUGUGUUCCAGGCCCCAAGCAGGAUGACUGGCUUUCUGGUCCCAGCCCUUUCUGCAGCCAAGAAAAUCAAGGGGCUGCUUGACGGUCUUGACCAGAGAGAGCUGAAAGCAGCAAGCU